rnacentral:rRNA from 1 species
GAUGAACGCUGGCGGCAUGCCUUACACAUGCAAGUCGAACGGCAGCACGGGUGCUUGCACCUGGUGGCGAGUGGCGAACGGGUGAGUAAUACAUCGGAACGUACCUUAUCGUGGGGGAUAACGCAGCGAAAGCUGUGCUAAUACCGCAUACGCCCUGAGGGGGAAAGCGGGGGAUCGCAAGACCUCGCGCGAUUAGAGCGGGCGAUGCCUGAUUAGCUUGUUGGUGGGGUAAAAGCCCACCAAGGCGACGAUCAGUAGCUGGUCUGAGAGGACGAUCAGCCACACUGGGACUGAGACACGGCCCAGACUCCUACGGGAGGCAGCAGUGGGGAAUUUUGGACAAUGGGGGCAACCCUGAUCCAGCAAUGCCGCGUGAGUGAAGAAGGCCUUCGGGUUGUAAAGCUCUUUUGUCAGGGAAGAAACACCGGCUCUAACACAGUCCGGGAAUGACGGUACCUGAAGAAUAAGCACCGGCUAACUACGUGCCAGCCGCCGCAGUAA